UAUGUAUGUGUGUGUAUGUAUAUAUGUAUGUGUGUGUAUGUAUAUAUAUAAAUAUAAAACAAUAAUUAUGAUGUUUUCCAGGCUCGCUUCCUGCUCUCCAAAGUGAACCCCUCCCAGACCCACAACAACAUGUACGCCUGGGGACAGGAGUCUGGAGCUCCCAUCCUGACAGAUGACGUCAGCCUGCAGGUGUUCAUGGAUCACCUGAAGAAACUCGCCGUCUCCAGCGCCGCCUGACCUGUCUGUGUUAUGUUUAUUCUUUUGUUUUGCAUUUGCUGCCUGAGUUCCCAUGACAACCAGUCAACCAACUAACUAACAAGCCAACACUGCCUGAAGUUACCUGUUAUCGUCCUAGUAUCAGCCAAUCAGCAGCAGGUUCAGAACAAUGACAGCCAAUAGAGACGCAUGUUAAACAUCCAGUUAGCAUUAAACCCUGUUGACGGCUGCUGUGUCACAUUUCUGCUUCACAGAAUUACGUUUUUACACCUGCAGCCCCGUAACGUGUUCAAAUGAAACAACCUGAGGAGCAAAAGUCAGUUUGGUUGCUCUUAUAGACGUGAUGCUUCAUUUUAAAGGAGCAGAUCAGCAGUUUUCCAUGUUUCAGCCUGGUUAUUACACAUCACAUACACUUUACAUCACUGCUAAACAUGUUAUAAACCAUGCUGCUGUUUCAGAAAGUAAAGGUAUGUAGUUUUUAUUGUCAUUAUAUAUUUAUCUAUAUUUCUCUGAUGAAUUAUUUAGACCUAUACAAUUCUCCCUGUGAUAUUUAAAACUGAGCCCAAGUUAUUGUAGAGCUCGCGCUCCAUGUACAAGGCCGUGUCCUUACCGCAGUGGCCCGAAAUUCAAAUGUCUAUUAGCAUUAGCUUAGCACAGCAGAUGCAGGUGAGCAAUCUGAUUGGUGCAAAUUAACAACUGAUCUAAUCAAUUGAUCAACAAAUCGUUUCCAUUUUAAUUCUGUUUCAGGCUUCCAUUGGUUUCCAUUCAUUUCUAUAUCAAAUCUGUUGAAACCUGAGUCGUGUCGUCGUCACAUUAAAACAUUGAGUCUGCUUUCAUUUUUGUUUUGUUAUUGUUAUUAAGUAAUUACUGCAGACUUUAUGAAGUUUCCAAGAGAUUUUAAUAACUUAUAGAAACCAAAAGCUGCCUGGAGAAGUACAUUCAAAAAUCUAAAACUCUACAGCAGCCGUUUGAAAACCGUCAUCGUGUAAAGUCCGUUUGUGAUUUCAGGAGCUGGAAGUUGCGAACACGCCGGUCUGCUCCUUUAAAGGUUAUAAUAAUAAUAAUAAUAAUAAUAAUAAUAAUAAUCCAGCAUGUUAGUGAAACAGCUGACCUCCGGUCUGCUGCGCUUUCUGUUAAUCCAACAGUUGCACACAUUUCAAGCAGUUUUCCAAAAUGAGCAAAAGAUGUUUGAGUGUUUUAUAACUUAAAAAACAAAAAUAGAAGAUGAAAUAAAUGAAAAUGAUUUUCAUACAGCGUCUGUUUCUGUGUAUCUUCCCUCUGUUAGCUGUCAUGUUGACUGAUGUGAGAUCAGAUCAUCUUUGCUGAACGACUGCAGUCAGAAAAUCGACAAGCAAAGAAACAACAGAGUCUGAAGGAAACUUGGACUCAUUUUGAAUCAUCACAGCAGUUUGAAAACUUAUUGAUCAUAUUGUUGGUUGUUGAGUUUCUCUUUGAAGCCAUUUAACACUAAAAGUCCUGCAGAGAGGAGACGAGUUUAUGUUUUCAUUGAGUCUUUAUUCUCAUGUUUCUAAUAAAACUCUGCUGUGGAGAA